GGAAGUAAAAGCCGUAACAAGGUUUCCGUAGGUGAACCUGCGGAAGGAUCAUUAACAAAUCUGUGGUAUUGUUGCGUUGCAAGACGUGACACCAUUUGCUCCGUGUGCAUGUUUGUGCACAUUGUGACAUUUCUGCGAAUCAUCUGAUAUACCGAGAAAAACAUGAACAACUUUUAACAAUGGAUCUCUAGGCUCUU
rnacentral:misc_RNA from 1 species